rnacentral:rRNA from 1 species
GAUGAACGCUGGCGGCGUGCCUAAUACAUGCCAGUCGAGCGAACAGAUGAGGAGCUUGCUCCUCUGACGUUAGCGGCGGACGGGUGAGUAACACGUGGAUAACCUACCUAUAAGACUGGGAUAACUUCGGGAAACCGGAGCUAAUACCGGAUAAUAUAUUGAACCGCAUGGUUCAAUAGUGAAAGACGGUUUUGCUGUCACUUAUAGAUGGAUCCGCGCCGCAUUAGCUAGUUGGUAAGGUAACGGCUUACCAAGGCAACGAUGCGUAGCCGACCUGAGAGGGGGAUUGGCCACACUGGAACCGAGGCACGGGCCAGACUCCUUCGGGAGGGCACAGGAGGGAAACUUUCGCAAUUGGGGGAAGCUUGACGGAGCAACGCCGCGGGAGUGAAGAAGGUCUUCGGAUCGUAAAACCCUGUUAUUAGGGAAGAACAAAUGUUGAAGUAACUUAGCACGUCUUGACGGUACCUAAACAAGAAGCCACGGCUAACUACGUG